GUGAAUCAUCGAAUCUUUGAACGCAUAUUGCGCCCUCUGGUAUUCCGGGGGGCAUGCCUGUUCGAGCGUCAUAUACACCCGUCAAGCAUAGCUUGGUAUUGGGCCUUCAUCGACUGGAUGGGUCUGAAAAUUAGUGGCGAUGGCCCCUUUUGCUUCAAGCGAGGAGUUGUUCUCGCCUUGAUGAACUCAACGCGGGAGCCUCGCCAUGUCAACCAACGUCUUUCGGAGUUGACCUCGGAUCAGGUAGGAAUACCCGCUGAACUUAAGCAUAUCAAUAAGCGGAGGA
rnacentral:misc_RNA from 1 species